rnacentral:rRNA from 1 species
UACGUAGGUGGCAAGCGUUGUCCGGAUUUACUGGGCGUAAAGGGCGUGCAGGCGGUUUGUUAAGUCUAGGGUGAAAGCUCCCGGCUCAACUGGGAGAGGUCCUUGGAUACUGGCGAACUUGAGGGAUGCAGAGGAAAGUGGAAUUCCCGGUGUAGUGGUGAUAUGCGUAGAUAUCGGGAGGAACACCAGUGGCGAAGGCGACUACCUGGCCUGUUCUUGACGCUGAGGCGCGAAAGCUAGGGGAGCAAACGGG